rnacentral:rRNA from 2 species
UGGAAGGAGAAGUCGUAACAAGGUCUCCGUUGGUGAACCAGCGGAGGGAUCAUUA